AGUGGCGGACGGGUGAGUAACGCGUGAGAAUCUGCCUUGGGGUCGGGGACAACCACUGGAAACGGUGGCUAAUACCGGAUACGCCUUCGGGUAAAAGAUUUAUUGCCCUAAGAGGAGCUCGCGUCUGAUUAGCUAGUUGGUGAGGUAAGAGCUCACCAAGGCAGCGAUCAGUAGCUGGUCUGAGAGGACGAUCAGCCACACUGGGACUGAGACACGGCCCAGACUCCUACGGGAGGCAGCAGUGGGGAAUUUUCCGCAAUGGGCGAAAGCCUGACGGAGCAAGACCGCGUGAGGGAGGAAGGCUCUUGGGUUGUAAACCUCUUUUCUCAGGGAAGAAGCUCUGACGGUACCUGAGGAAUCAGCCUCGGCUAACUCCGUGCCAGCAGCCGCGGUAAUACGGAGGAGGCAAGCGUUAUCCGGAAUUAUUGGGCGUAAAGCGUCCGCAGGUGGCGAUUCAAGUCUGCUGUCAAAGCACGGGGCUUAACUCCGUAAAGGCAGUGGAAACUGAAUAGCUAGAGUGCCGUAGGGGUAGAGGGAAUUCCCGGUGUAGCGGUGAAAUGCGUAGAGAUCGGGAAGAACAUCGGUGGCGAAAGCGCUCUACUGGACGGCAACUGACACUCAGGGACGAAAGCUAGAGGAGCGAAUGGGAUUAGAUACCCC
rnacentral:rRNA from 1 species